UACGUAGGGUGCGAGCGUUAAUCGGAAUUACUGGGCGUAAAGCGUGCGCAGGCGGUUUUGUAAGCCAAAUGUGAAAUCCCCGGGCUUAACCUGGGAAUGGCAUUUGGGACUGCAAGGCUUGAGUGCGGCAGAGGAGACUGGAAUUCCUGGUGUAGCAGUGAAAUGCGUAGAUAUCAGGAGGAAUACCGAUGGCGAAGGCAGGUCUCUGGGCUGACACUGACGCUCAUGCACGAAAGCGUGGGGAGCAAACAGG
rnacentral:rRNA from 1 species